rnacentral:piRNA from 1 species
CUCGGAAGAGCUCAGGAGCUGCUGCU